rfam:Myotis davidii contig198724, whole genome shotgun sequence.
GAGACACCCCUGUGGAGCAGGAUUUGCUUCAGUGGGACUUUGGUGCUCACUGAGUCUACCCCUUGAGGGUAUCACU